GAUGAACGCUGGCGGCGUGCUUAACACAUGCAAGUCGAACGAUGAAGCCCAGCUUGCUGGGUGGAUUAGUGGCGAACGGGUGAGUAACACGUGAGUAACCUGCCCUUAACUCUGGGAUAAGCCUGGGAAACUGGGUCUAAUACCGGAUAGGAGCGUCCACCGCAUGGUGGGUGUUGGAAAGAUUUAUCGGUUUUGGAUGGACUCGCGGCCUAUCAGCUUGUUGGGGAGGUAAUGGCUCACCAAGGCGACGAAGGGUAGCCGGCCUGAGAGGGUGACCGGCCACACUGGGACUGAGAAAGGGCCCAGACUGCUACGGGGGGCAGCAGUGGGAAACAUUGCACAAUGGGCGCAAGCCGGAUGAAGCGUCGCCGCGUGAGGGAUGACGGCCUUCGGGUUGUAAACCUCUUUCAGUAGGGAAGAAGCGAAAGUGACGGUACCUGCAGAAGAAGCACCGGCUAACUACGUG
rnacentral:rRNA from 1 species